rnacentral:rRNA from 1 species
CCUACGGGUGGCAGCAGUCGAGAAUCAUUCACAAUGGGGGAAACUCUGAUGGUGCGACGCCGCGUGGGGGAAUGAAGGUCUUCGGAUUGUACACCCCUUUCAUGGGGGAGCAAAUUAAAAAGAUAGUACCACAAGAGGAAGAGUCGGCUAACUCUGUGCCAGCAGCCGCGGUAAUACAGAGGUCUCAAGCGUUGUUCGGAAUCACUGGGCGGAAAGCGUGCGUAGGCUGUUUCGUAAGGCGUGUGUGAAAGGCUCGAGCUCAACCCGCGGACGGCACAUGAUACUGCGAGACUAGAGUAAUGGAGGGGGAACCGGAAUUCUCGGUGUAGCAGUGAAAUGCGUAGAUAUCGAGAGGAACACUCGUGGCGAAGGCGGGUUCCUGGACAUUAACUGACGCUGAGGCACGAAGGCCAGGGGAGCGAAAGGGAUUAGAUACCCCAGUAGUC